rnacentral:sRNA from 1 species
CAUUUUCCCCAAUGUCUUUGCCUCACUCCUCUAU